rnacentral:rRNA from 1 species
CCUACGGGAGGCAGCAGUGAGGAAUAUUGGUCAAUGGUCGGGAGACUGAACCAGCCAAGCCGCGUGAGGGAGGAAGGUACAGAGUAUCGUAAACCUCUUUUGUCAGGGAACAAAGGCGGGGACGUGUCCCCGGAUGAGUGUACCUGAAGAAACAGCAUCGGCUAACUCCGUGCCAGCAGCCGCGGUAAUACGGAGGAUGCGAGCGUUAUCCGGAUUUAUUGGGUUUAAAGGGUGCGCAGGCGGUCUGUUAAGUCAGCGGUCAAAGCCCGGGGCUCAACCCCGGCCCGCCGUUGAAACUGGCAGGCUCGAGUUGGAGAGAAGUAUGCGGAAUGCGCGGUGUAGCGGUGAAAUGCAUAGAUAUCGCGCAGAACUCCGAUGGCGAAGGCAGCAUGCCGGCUCCACACUGACGCUGAGGCACGAAAGCGUGGGUAUCGAACAGGAUUAGAUACCCCGGUAGUC